rnacentral:rRNA from 1 species
CCUACUCCUUGACAUCCAGAGAACUUACCAGAGAUGCUUUGGUGCCUUCGGGAACUCUGAGACAGGUGCUGCAUGGCUGUCGUCAGCUCGUGUUGUGAAAUGUUGGGUUAAGUCCCGCAACGAGCGCAACCCUUAUCCUUUGUUGCCAGCGGUNAGGCCGGGAACUCAAAGGAGACUGCCAGUGAUAAACUGGAGGAAGGUGGGGAUGACGUCAAGUCAUCAUGGCCCUUACGAGUAGGGCUACACACGUGCUACAAUGGCGCAUACAAAGAGAAGCGACCUCGCGAGAGCAAGCGGACCUCAUAAAGUGCGUCGUAGUCCGGAUUGGAGUCUGCAACUC